GUCUACGGCCCUGCCACCCUCAACAAGCCCGAUCCCGUCUGAUCUUGGAAGCUAAGCAGGGUCGGGCCUGGUUAGUACUUGGAUGGGAGACCAACUAGGAAGACCAGGUGCUGUAGGGG
rnacentral:rRNA from 1 species